AUUGAACGCUGGCGGCAUGCUUUACACAUGCAAGUCGAACGGUAACAGGCCGCAAGGUGCUGACGAGUGGCGGACGGGUGAGUAAUGCAUCGGAACGUGCCCAGUCGUGGGGGAUAACUACUCGAAAGAGUAGCUAAUACCGCAUACGAUCUAUGGAUGAAAGCGGGGGACCGUAAGGCCUCGCGCGAUUGGAGCGGCCGAUGUCAGAUUAGGUAGUUGGUGGGGUAAAGGCUCACCAAGCCAACGAUCUGUAGCUGGUCUGAGAGGGCGACCAGCCACACUGGGACUGAGACACGGACAAGACUCCUACGGGAGGCAGCAGUGGGGAAUUUUGGACAAUGGGCGCAAGCCUGAUCCAGCAAUGCCGCGUGCAGGAAGAAGGCCUUCGGGUUGUAAACUGCUUUUGUACGGAACGAAACGGCUCUGGUUAAUACCCGGGGCUAAUGACGGUACCGGAAGAAUAAGCACCGGCUAACUACGUG
rnacentral:rRNA from 1 species